GCUGUUUUCACUGAUUUCGAUUCUUCUACUGUUUGAUGGCCUUCUGCAUCCCAGAGUCUGGGCCAACCUCCUGUCCAACAACAUCUCCAAGGCACACUGAACUAUAUGACUAGCAGCAAACUCAACAUCAACAGUUUCACAUUCUGAGAGCAACUUGAGUAGAAAUUAACUGAAUAGAAAAGGUAAGUGCUUUUGGAAAAUGACUGAAGACUCAGCUGCUCAAAUUAGUAAAGGCAGGUCAUUCUACCAUGAUCUUAUCUACAAAUACUACUAUUCUCAUGAAGUCUGUAAAUAUGUCCAGUUCUAAUAAACACAUUUCAGGAAAAAAUUAUUUAAUAAUAUGAGCAAAAUGAAAUGCAGCCCUGCAUAAAUCUGGUAUAACUGAGCCUGUGAAUUUGUUAAUUUGUAUAGGAUUUAUGCACCUGUAGUGAAGAUUUUGAGAAGGUUUUGUUGUGUUUGUGAGAGAAAAAGAAACAAAAUACAAGCUUGCAACUCCAAAAACAUUUUCUUGAUGAUUUAUUUAAAUAUUCUCUACAAAUACAAAUACAAAUUCCACUGUCACAAGUGCUCAAUUUUGUUAUAAUAAUGAACAAAGUGUCUCGAUUGUACAGUAGAUGUACUGUAUGCAAAUAUAACAAAGGGACAUUAACAAUUGAAUAUUCAGGGGAUGCGAACUUGUCACCUUUAAGUAAAAAUUGACAAUUUCGAUCCAAAAAUCAUUUGCAUUUUUUGAGUAGAUCCAAAGAGUUGAAUACAAAGUGAAUUAGUUAAAUAGCACAUGCUAAAUAACACAAGUAAUUUUUUGUUUACAUUUUAUAUAUGUUAUAAAAAGAAAAUAAAUACAUGUUUUAAAUCAAAUGUUGCCAUUUUAA